rnacentral:tRNA from 1 species
GGUGGCUCAGUGGUAGAGUGCUUGCCUUGCAUGCAUGAGGUCCUGGGGUCAAUUCCUCAGCACCA